rnacentral:rRNA from 1 species
UACGUAGGGUGCAAGCGUUAAUCGGAAUUACUGGGCGUAAAGCGUGCGCAGGCGGUUCGUCAAGACAGAUGUGAAAUCCCCGGGCUUAACCUGGGAACUGCAUUUGUGACUGGCGGACUGGAGUAUGGCAGAGGGGGGUAGAAUUCCACGUGUAGCAGUGAAAUGCGUAGAGAUGUGGAGGAAUACCGAUGGCGAAGGCAGCCCCCUGGGCCAAUACUGACGCUCAUGCACGAAAGCGUGGGGAGCAAACAGG